GGGGGUGGCGUAUGGCUAGGGUGUCGGGGGAGGAGGCCGAGCAGCGGUGGGGGAGGGGGCAGGGCCAUGGUCUCAGGGUCACUGCCCCCCCACUUCUAGGAAGCUUCCAGCACUCACGCCCAGCCUCCCCAAAUGCGGGAGUCUUGUGCACUCUCCUCACAACCCCUUGCAUAUUCUAAGUGUCCACCAAAACUCCUCCUUUGCAAUGGCAUUCACACACUGCCAUGUACCCUGCCAGUCCUCUGUGCCAUGCUAUUGCUCAAGUAACUGCUAUCAGUGGGUGCGCACACAUCACUGUGCACCACAAGGUUCAGUCAGGAGUAACUGGAAGAGAUGACUCAGAGGAAUUCUCUGGCACUCAUCCCAGAUGCAUGCCAAUUUGCAGACCUAGAAAGCCUCUCUAAUAAUUUUUUAAAUAUUGCUGCCCCAGACACUAGCUGAGGUUAAAGCUGAUCUGGUGAUCUGCUUGGGGGAGAUCAGUGCCAUAGUUUGAGUCACAGCUAUGUGCAAAUAUAUCAUAAGAAUGGGAUAAAUGUAAUGACAAGUCUUUUAUUUCUUGGCAAUGUACCUCUGGAACGGAACCCCUUGACUCAAUAAUCCAAAAUUUGCACCCCUCACCUCCCCUGGAUCCUGAUGAGGGAUGGCAAUUUUCAAGACAAUGGAGAGUUGCCUUUGAAGACUGUGCUCAGCACAUGGGCACCAAGUAGGCUGGAUUUCUCCACACUUCAAAUACAAUUCACUCCUUUCCUCCAAGGAGAAAUUGGAGGCAGGAAGUAGCUGCUCAGGAAGCACUGGCAGAGAAUUUCCUCUCUCUGGGAAAGGAAAAUUGGCCAUAUCCUGAAAGAAUUUUCAAAUGGAUUCAGGUAACAUGACUAUAGUGCCUACUACAAAAUCGGGCCCCACUGCAAUCAGUAGCAAAACUCCCAUUGCCUCCAUUGGGGCCAGGAUCUCAAUCCUAGUCUUAUAGCUGUCAACAACCAUUUUAAAACAAGUUGUGCCCAGGCAACAGCUGGCACUAACUCAUUACAUGAAACUUUUAUUGGCUGUGGUUCUUGAACUAUCCUUAAGGAUGUGGGCAACGUCUGUGUGUACUUGGGGCCUACAUGAACCUGCAUUUCCUCCUGCACUGUGGAUAGAUAGAAAAAACCCCCUUCUGAAGUGCUCCGGUGAGAUGCUCAACACCCCCAGCUGCCACUGAACUUCAACGGGAGUUGAGAGCAUUGAACACUAUCCAGGAUCUGGCCUCCAGUCUGAAUCAGGGACCGAACGGGGAAAAAAUAAACCCACAAAAUAAGUUCUACCCUCUUGAGAUGCCACUCUCAGUGCAGACUAGAAAUUUAUAAUUUUUCUUAAAUGAAAGUUUAGAUUUUUGCACAUAAGACAUCAGCUUGGAACAGAUCUCACGAUUAAAACACAGCCAUAGAAAUGUAGAGAGAGCUGGAUUAGAUUCCUCGCUUUGCCACAAGCUUCCUGGGCAAGUCACUUCACCUUUCUGUGACUCAGUUUCCCCAACUGUACAAUGAGAUGAGAGUGGGGUGUGGUGAGAUUGACUUCAUUUGUAUUUGUAUGUAAACUAAGUUAAGAUCCAGGAGUGGAACUUGAAGAAAUGCCAAGUAUUAUUAUAGUGGUAAUUUGAUUGUUCCAAUUACCACCCUACUGCCUUGUAGUGGAAAACCUUUCUACAACCUUUGGGGAGAUGGAAACAUAUCCAAAGAAUCACUUCAGUACACACAUCAAACCCUUUUAUCAUCCUGGGUAGAAACAGUGUCAUUAAAUGGAGCUUUUAAUGUAAUAAACCCCAAAAAUAUAGGCUGGAUUUAUACAGGCCUUUGCUAUUGUUGGGAAAUUAAAUUAGUUUUUCUCAUGACCCACCUGGGGAUCUGAAUAUAAGCCAAAUGGACACCCUAGCAACAGGAUGGCUAGAGUCUGUACUUGGCCUUCAUCCUCAGGACAGAGAGCAUGACACAUCAAUGUAGGGCCUUUUGCUGUGUAUUUGUUAUAUGACAUUAUGUAACUAUGGGAUUUAAGACUAAUUCAGAGUAUAUUGAAAACAAACAGACCAGGUGACCAAGGCAUCAACCUCACUUCUUUCAAGUCCCUUUAAAAAAACAUUUCGUCCAUGAAGCCCACAAAAGUGAGUUUAUCAUCUAAAACAAACACUAACCACUAAGUCUCCUGCACCUCUGGAUUUCUCAGGGUGUCUAUGUUUUAGAUAGAAAGCUCUUUGGGAUGUCUUUAUUUUUGUGUAUUGUACAGAAAAGAGUAUAUUGGCACUUUGGUGGCUCUAAACAAAUUCAUAUUAUUAUUAGUACUACUAAAUCUAGUUAGAAACCAAGAAAUAUAUCAUUUUGGCAAUGUUGUUAAAGAAGGUAAUCAAACCUGACAGCUCCUCUAACAAAUCUUUAAAAUGAAAUGCAGUAUUUUAUUUAUUAUUAUAAGUGCAGAACUAAAUUAACCCAAUACUGAAAUUUACAGUUAUAAUUUCAUUGGGCCUCACAAAGAAAUGAACUAAUUAUGGACCUAAUCCUGCCACACUUACUUAUAAGAAUAGAACAAUCUUUCCUAAUAGAGCUGGUUAAAAAAUGGAUCCAAAUUUUCACAAAAAAUUCAUAAGAACGUAAGAAUAGCCAUCCUGGGUCAGAUCAAAGGUCCAUCAAGCCCAGUAUCCUGUCUUCCAGCAACGGCCAAUGCCAGGUGCCCCAGAGGGAAUGAAGAGAACAGGCAAUCAUCACGUGCUCCAUUCCCUGUUGCUCAUUUCCAGCUUCUGACAAACAGAGGCAAGGAACACCAUCCUGUUAUUUUUGGGAGGAAGGGGAGUGUUAUUGAUAGGUUACACAAAUGCCUGUCAGGGAUGGUCUGUUUUACUUGGUCCUGUCUCAGCAGAUGGGGGACUUGAUGACUUCUCAAAGUCCCUUCCAGCCCUAUAUUUCUAUGAUUCUAUGGUUGACAAAAUUUGAAAUGUUGACUAAAAGUUGUGUCAAAAUUUUCAAUUUCAGAUCUAGUGGGAGUGGUUGAAGUGAAUUGUAAGAAUUUCUGACAUAAAUAAGGGUUGUGGAAUUGGGCGUUAAGCGCAGGUUCAUGAUAAACAGUUCUCCCUUCUUUUUUAUUUUUAAUUUAAAGUAUUUGCUGAAUGUUAUAGGCUUGAGUGUCCAGAGUCCAUCUUAUGGAAACCAAAGUCCACUGAUGCCAUGAAAAAUGCCAAAUGUUUUUGGUGACUGAAAGAUAACAAUGACCAGGUACUUUCCCAAAUGUAGUCAGAUUCUUGCAUCUGAAUUCCGUUCAUAAUAAUAAUCAUAGAAAUGUAGGGCUGGAAGAGAGCUUGAGUUAUUAUCACAUCCUGCCCCCUGUGCUGAGGCAGGACCAAGCAAAUGUAAGCCAUUCCUGGCAGGUGUUUGUCCAACAUGUUCUUAAAAACCUCCAACAACAGGGAUUUCACAACCUCCCUUAGAAGACUGUGCUUAACUACCCUUAUAGUUCGGAAAAAACUUACUACUAUCUAACCUAAAUCUCCCUUGCUGCAGAUUAAGCGCAUGACUUCUUCUCCUAGCUCUAGGCAAUAAUGCCUGGCUCUUUUGAUCAAACAAACAAUCUCAAAGCACUUCACAAAGGUAAAUAAAAGUCAUCAUCUCCAUUGCACAGAGGGGUAAACCGAGGCAAAAUGCCUUGUCCAAGGUCAUUCAGCAAGCCAUUGAUAGAGCCAGGCUGGGAACCCAGGUCUUCAGAGUCCCCAUCCAGUGCAGUAACCUGAAGACCAAACUGCCGCCCACCAAACUAACUACCCCCUUGAAAGCUCAGCCGCAGCAGAAUGACAAAGCUGAUACAUUAUUGUAAAUACAUUAUUGUUCAAGCCCGUCUCUGCCACUUAACAGCCAGAAAUAAUAAAAUUAAUAAAUAGCAGUAAGGAACAAAACUUGAAGCCUGACUAUAGUCAAUGGAAAGAGUCCCUCUGAUUUAAGAAAUUAGAAUUUAAAAUAUAGACAUCAGUUGAUUCCCUUGUUCUGCUUUCUUCUUAUUCAUUCACCUAACCCAAGACAAUUAUGUGCCUGCUCUGUGUAAAGGAUGGAUCUUAUAUAUUGCUGAUGCCCAGAUUCUGUGGGACUGCAUAUCUCUCACACUACACUGAAGACUUGUUCUUGAAACAGGAGGAGCUUGGUGUUAUCCUCUGUUGGGUUUUAUAAGGACACAGCAUUUCACCCCAUGAUUUCUGCAUCAAACCCAUAACUUCUGGAUUAGCUGUGACAAAGAGUUUAAAUUCUGCACACUUUGACAAAGUUUAAUUUUUAUGGAAACUACUGGAGCCAACAGAAAAGUACCAGGACACUGUGCCACCACCUGCUGUAACUAAUUCAAGUGCUGCAGACAGAAAGAAUUGUUAGACACUGUAACUCACCCACUCCCGGGGAGGAGGGAGCAGAAACCCUGGCCCUGUUUCUCCUUUAGCAGAUAUUCCACGUUAGAACUUUUUUCAAAAUUUACAGGUGCUGAUUUAGACCCAGGUCUCAUCAAAAUAUCAUAUAUAACAUCAUGAUCAUACUGAAAUAGCUGAUGGUGAAUCCAAGUGUUGUCUCUAUUAUUUGUUUUAGUUAGAACAAGCUUUGGCUAUACAUGUAGAACAGAAUGCAAAACACUUGAAUUUAAGUUCCAUUUGGCUUUGGCUUAAAACACAUGAUUUGAAGUGCUAUGCAUUUUUAGUUUAUAUCUCAAUAGUUGGAGAAGCAGGGCAAGAAUGACUUUGUCUGUGAGAAACCUUAUUGUUGAAUAACACAGGCUUCUGUUGGUGAGAGACACCACUGAGGGGGUUGUUUACAUUUCCUUUGGGGGGGAAAACACAAUUAUUUAAAUAAAGGGGGGGAUGUUUCACAAAACAAAAAUAGAGCUCUUGAAACCCCAAACUGCUAUAACUUUCCACUCUAGGCAACUAUAAAAACAUGAUGCAAAACAGCACUCAUUUGUCUUUUCAUUUUCUUUAAUUUCAUUAUGCCUCAUUCUGAAGAAUCUCUGAUACAGUAUGAUUUGUAAUAUAGUUUUGAUAUUUUUUAAUUAUAUUUGUUUAGCUUUAUAUACACACACACACACACACGCACUGAAUUAUAGUUAUGCUGUAAAGAUGCUUUUGCUGAAAGACUUUGAAGGUCAUUUUUCACCAUAUAUGAAUUGAAAUAAAAUCCACAAAAAUAACUCGUAGUUUUAGGAACCCACUGGGUUAUCCCAUCCUUAAGUUUUAGGAACCCUCUGGAUUGUCUCAUGCUUGGUAGUCUGAAAAUUCAUAAGCUUCCCACCAGCAAUAGUUGGCAAAAUGUAUUAGAACUUGUUUUUAAUUGCUGUUGAUUUUUCCAGGUUCAUAGCUGUUAAAAUGAGGCUCAGACACUAACAUUGCUGAAGCCCAAUGUGAAAGACUGUAAUAAGUUCCCAGUCUGGUUCAGAAUCCUGUUAACAGGCCAAGAACAAGUCCUUUAAAGUGAAGAUGAGAACACUGAAAACUAUUCCCAUUCUGAAUUAAACUGAGAUGGGCUCAAGCCAUGACAUUGGGAAUUGACUCCAAACUUCAGAAAUGUCGGGGAAGGAGGCGGUUUGAUCCAGAGUUUUGGUUCAGCCCAUCAUGAUGCUAUAGGCCAUGUGCAAAGUGUAGAACAGAAUCUCCACAGAAGGCAAGACUGUUCACAUUCCUGGUUUUGCUACAGGUUUAUCACUAGCAUUAAACCUGUCCCUUUUGUCAGUACAACGGAGAUGUACUUUGGAUUGUGUACUGUUGGAGAGAGGCAUUCAUUAUAUUAUAUCUCACUUCAACAGCAUCUUUGGGAAUCAAGUCUUUUAGCUGUGGAUGAUGAUGAAGUAGAGGAAAUUACAGGGCAUUUCAUGUAACCAGGAGUCAAGCCCUGAGGGAUGGUCCCCACCUUGGAACAAGGGUGGAGUAGUUUUGUGCCUACCCAACAGCACACCCACAAAAGCCCACAACUAUUUGGGACAAGGUUAAGUCAGUUCACAGUCUGCCAAUUGCACUGACUUUAAUGUCUCCCCUGCUUAGGGAAUGUCAAUACUGCUUUCCUGAACUCCGCCUGUUAUAUCUAGAGGAAAGGGGAUUAGCAUUGUCUUCCACCACUCGCCCCAGGAAACAUGAUAUCACACUUGAACAAAAGCGGGAAAGCUGACAGAUCUAUUGAGAUGGGUGUGACUACAAUACACACCUAACUGGUCAAGUCCUGUGGAAAGGGCUGUGACUAGCGGCUCUUCAAUGCCGAACUCAAAUGAGCACACUGUCCAUGUUUAUUGCUAAUCUGCGAAGCUAUACAUCUACAACAAGCAAGCAACCCACAUGACAAAAGAGGAAUACAAACUAUACAACAAUAUACACAAACUCACCACAUUUUAUGUAAACUUUUUGGCCUGCAGAUCGCCACAGACCUUUUCAGAUACUAA